rnacentral:tRNA from 1 species
GCGGGGAUAGCUCAGUUGGGAGAGCGUCAGACUGAAGUCCUAACUUCAUUCUAUAAAACCAUUUAAUCUGAAGGUCGUGCGUUCGAUCCGCACUCACCGCA